rnacentral:rRNA from 1 species
UAGCAGUGAAAUGCGUAGAGAUGUGGAGGAACACCGAUGGCGAAGGCAGCCCCCUGGGUCGACACUGACGCUCAUGCACGAAAGCGUGGGUAGCAAACAGGAUUAGAUACCCUGGUAGUCCACGCCCUAAACGAUGCCAACUAGGUGUUGGGGAAGGAGACUUCCUUAGUACCGUAGCUAACGCGUGAAGUUGGCCGCCUGGGGAGUACGGUCGCAAGAUUAAAACUCAAAGGAAUUGACGGGGACCCGCACAAGCGGUGGAUGAUGUGGAUUAAUUCGAUGCAACGCGAAAAACCUUACCUACCCUUGACAUGCCAGGAAUCCUGCUGAGAGGUGGGAGUGCCCGAAAGGGAGCCUGGACACAGGUGCUGCAUGGCUGUCGUCAGCUCGUGUCGUGAGAUGUUGGGUUAAGUCCCGCAACGAGCGCAACCCUUGUCAUUAGUUGCCAUCAUUUAGUUGGGCACUCUAAUGAGACUGCCGGUGACAAACCGGAGGAAGGUGGGGAUGACGUCAAGUCCUCAUGGCCCUUAUGGGUAGGGCUUCACACGUCAUACAAUGGUCGGUACAGAGGGUUGCCAAGCCGCGAGGUGGAGCCAAUCCCAGAAAGCCGAUCGUAGUCCGGAUUGCAGUCUGCAACUCGACUGCAUGAAGUCGGAAUCGCUAGUAAUCGUGGAUCAGCAUGUCACGGUGAAUACGUUCCCGGGUCUUGUACACACCGCCCGUCACACCAUGGGAGUGGCAUUCACCAGAAGUAGGUAGCCUAACCGCAAGGAGGGCGCUUACCACGGUGGGAUUCAUGACUGGGGUG